UACAGAGGUCCCAAGCGUUGUUCGGAUUCACUGGGCGUAAAGGGUGCGUAGGUGGUUGGGUAAGUCUGAUGUGAAAUCUCUGGGCUCAACCCAGAAAUGGCAUUGGAUACUAUUCGGCUAGAGGAAUGGAGGGGAGACUGGAAUACUUGGUGUAGCAGUGAAAUGCGUAGAUAUCAAGUGGAACACCAGUGGCGAAGGCGAGUCUCUGGACAUUUCCUGACGCUGAGGCACGAAAGCCAGGGGAGCAAACGGG
rnacentral:rRNA from 1 species